rnacentral:rRNA from 1 species
GAUGAACGCUGGCGGCGUGCCUAAUACAUGCAAGUCGAGCGAACGGACGAGAAGCUUGCUUUUCUGAUGUUAGCGGCGGACGGGUGAGUAACACGUGGAUAACCUACCUAUAAGACUGGGAUAACUUCGGGAAACCGGAGCUAAUACCGGAUAAUAUUUUGAACCGCAUGGUUCAAAAGUGAAAGACGGUCUUGCUGUCACUUAUAGAUGGAUCCGCGCUGCAUUAGCUAGUUGGUAAGGUAACGGCUUACCAAGGCAACCAUGCAUAGCCGACCUGAGAGGGUGAUCGGCCACACUGGAACUGAGACACGGUCCAGACUCCUACGGGAGGCAGCAGUAGGGAAUCUUCCGCAAUGGGCGAAAGCCUGACGGAGCAACGCCGCGUGAGUGAUGAAGGUCUUCGGAUCGUAAAACUCUGUUAUUAGGGAAGAACAUAUGUGUAAGUAACUGUGCACAUCUUGACGGUACCUAAUCAGAAAGCCACGGCUAACUACGUG